UUCUAUUUAUUUAAUAUAUAAUAUUUAUUUGUGAAGUAAAAGUUGAGAAUUUCUCUUUAGAAU
rnacentral:tRNA from 1 species